CUCCUGUUACGUAUACUGAAGGUAUACCGGACAGAAUACACUCAGGAUACAUUCAGUAUACGUACAGGGG
rnacentral:pre_miRNA from 1 species